GUCUUUUUGAUUAAUAAUUUAAAGUCUAAUCUGCCCACUGAUAUAAUAUUAAAGGGCUGCAGUAUUUUGACUGUACAAAGGUAGCAUAAUCAUUAGUCUCUUAAUUGGUGACUUGUAUGAAAGAUUUGAUGAAAUAUAUACUGUCUCUAUUUAAUUAGUAAAAUUUAAUUUUUUAGUUAAAAAGCUAAAAUAUAUUUAAAAGACGAGAAGACCCUAUAGAGUUUUAUAUUUAAUUAAAUUAAAAUUUUUUAUAAGAUUUAAAAUUUUGAUGUGUUUAAAUAUUAUGUUGGGGUGACAAAAAAAUUUAAAUAACUUUUUUUAUAGGUUAACAUUUAUUAAUGAAUAUAUGAUCCGUAAUUUACGAUUAUAAGAAAAAAUUACCUUAGGGAUAACAGCGUAAUUUUUUUUUUUAGUUCAAAUAAGAAUUAAAGUUUGCGACCUCGAUGUUGGAUUAAGAUAAAAUUUAAAUGCAAAAGUUUAAAAUUUUUGAUCUGUUCGAUCAUUAAAAUCUUACA
rnacentral:rRNA from 1 species